GACGGAGGGUGCAAGCGUUGUUCGGAAUUACUGGGCGUAGAGGGCGCGUAGGCGGUCCAUUAAGUUCGGUGUGAAAUCCCCCGGCUCACCCGGAGAAUUGCGCCGGAAACUGGUGGACUCGAGUACCGGAGAGGAGGGUGGAAUUCCUGGUGUAGCGGUGAAAUGCGUAGAUAUCAGGAGGAACACCGGUGGCGAAGGCGGCCCUCUGGACGAGUACUGACGCUGAGGCGCGAAAGCGUGGGGAUCAAACAGG
rnacentral:rRNA from 1 species